CCAGGUAAUCACUGUUGGUUUGGCAAACCCAGAGCUGAAAACCAGAAAAGAAAUGCUCAUGACCGUAAAGCCACUCUGAAGGCAGAGAAGCAGAACCAGCCGGAGCACCCCGACCGUUUCAUCUACUGGAGACAGAUACUGUGCAGGGAGCCCCUGGCUGGAAGCCUCUUUUACUGGGAGACAGAGUGGACGGGCCAGAAGAGACCUGGACAGAAAGGAGGCUGACGACAGCAGCAGGCUGGGCUACAACGAGCACUCGUGGAGCCUGAACUGGUCUGGGACGGCCUUCUCAAUGUGGCAUGCUGGGAAGGAGACACAGCUAGGCACAACCAAGACUCGCAGGAUGGGGGUGUACCUGGACCAACAUGAAGGAGUACUGGCCUUCUACAGGAUGUCCAACAACCAGGCCCAUCUCAUCCAUUCCAUCUAGACAGACUUUACU